ensembl:lncRNA
CCCCUUCCCAGCCCUCAUUUAAGGGUUGGCAGUGAAGGCAAAAGUGUUUUGCUGGAGAUCCCUGCUUACUUGAGGCCUUCUGAAGGGUGAAGCGAAAGGCAGCAACAAGGCAUGGGGGUUUCCAGAGGAUCACAAGCAUUUCUGAUGUGUUAUUGCUAUUUGAAAGUCUGGGUCUGAAGUCGAGGCAUCUGCCUCAUUGGUGUUAUUCCCUUUCAGCCUUUUUAGGAUGGUGAAGGGACAAUUCAGAAAAAUACAAAAGAAAAGGCCAGUUUUCCCCAUCUGCCCCAGUCGUUUUGCUUCGAAGCUCUGAAACUGGGAUUGCUUUCCCAAUUGUUUGUUUCAGUGAAUGCCUCCAGGCUUCCCUGCAGCAUCGUGUGGCACUGUGUCAUCUUUACAGAGAGGCUGGCCAGCAUCCCUGCAUGGGGAUGCUUUGCCUGGAAAAUCCAUGGAAAACACUGGGAAUCAGAGGCCUGGAAAUCAGCCCAGGCUAUCAUAGAAGACUGAGCAGGAGCUGCAGGCACCCACAUGGAGGGCAGAAAGCCUAUGCUCUAAAUGUGGGGAAAAUGCACAAAAAUAUAAGGAACGUGCCAACUGCUGUGAGAAAUGGACAAGAGUGAUGCUAAUAGAAAAAGGUGAAGUACUGCAAGAGAGGAAGCGCUGAUUACAGGCACAGCAGUGCAUAUAUUAACCUUAGGCUGUGUUGAAAAAUAUUCCAGCAACAAGUGCAAAUUCCUGCACAGGCCAUUAGAAAGCUGCACCUUGCUCUUAUUGCUCUGGCUACAGAUGGACACGGUGAAAAUGUGAGCGCCUGGAGGUUGUCCCCUGUCUGAUGGGACAGACUGUCAUCACUUCUAUCCACUGCUGUCACAGAAUGGUGGGUCAGUAUUCCCCACAAGGCUGCCCCCAAGCAGAACACGCCAUCAGCAGUACCACAGUAUGAUGAAUUAACCAUGGGCUACGGUUAAUAAUGCAUUUGUCACAUUACCUUAUCACUGCUGUAGCUUGUAUCACAAUAAAUUAGUCAAAUCCUGACCUGCUUGCACGCAGCAGGAGUGAGGCAGUUCUCCUGCAUGAACACCUAGGGAUUUGCUCUCCGUUCCUUUAUGCCCAGGAAGGUGGG